GAGUUUGAUCUUGGCUCAGGAUGAACGCUGGCGGCGUGCCUAAUACAUGCAAGUCGAGCGGUAAGGCUACUUCGGUAGUACACGAGCGGCGGACGGCUGGGUAACACGUAGGAACGUACCCCAAAGUGAGGCAUAAGCACCAGAAAUGGUGUCUAAUACCGCAUGUGAUCUUCGGAUUAAAGCUUCGGCGCUUUGGGAACGGCCUGCGCAUGAUUAGCUUGUUGGUGAGGUAAUAGCUCACCAAGGCGACGAUCAUUAGCUGGUCCGAGAGGAUGACCAGCCAGACUGGGACUGAGAACGGCCCAGACUCCUACGGGAGGCAGCAGUAGGGAAUUUUCCACAAUGGGCGAAAGCCUGAUGGAGCAACGCCGCGUGCAGGAUGAAGGCCUCGGUUGUAAC
rnacentral:rRNA from 1 species